rnacentral:rRNA from 1 species
UACGGGGGGGGCAAGCGUUGUUCGGAAUUACUGGGCGUAAAGGGCUCGUAGGCGGCCAACUAAGUCGGACGUGAAAUCCCUCGGCUUAACCGGGGAACUGCGUCCGAUACUGGAUGGCUUGAGUUUGGGAGAGGGAUGCGGAAUUCCAGGUGUAGCGGUGAAAUGCGUAGAUAUCAGGAGGAACACCGAUGGCGAAGGCAGGUCUCUGGGCCGCAACUGACGCUGAGGAGCGGAAAGCAUGGGGGAGCGAACAGG